rnacentral:lncRNA from 1 species
AGUUCACUUCAAUAAGUUUCAUAUUUAAAACGUGUUUCUCAAGACAUAAAGUUGGACCUCAAUUUAAUUUCAAGCACAAAAAUAUUAGAAUGUCAUAUAAUAUUAUAUUGCCCUUUUGAAAGAAUAGAAUCUUAGAACUCUUGACUAGACCAAUAAAAUUUAAAUAUUUGGAGGUUUAUUAUUUAUUAUUUACACUUCCUACUAUAUCUUGCUUGAAACCGAUAAAGUGAACGUGAAACAAAUGGUUGCUGAGCCACUCGCCCCAAGUUAUUCAGCUCAGGUGGCUACUAGCUCCACUCAUAAUUACCCAAUAAAAAGGUAUGGGCAAGUUUUUUAAA